rnacentral:rRNA from 1 species
UAUUAUUUUGAACUAGAUUGAUAUUACCAGGUUAGUAGUAGUUAUGUGCUUGAAAAUUAAAGAAGAUGGCGGUAUUUUAGUCUAUUCAGAGGAACCUGUCCUGUAAUCGAUGAUCCACGAUUUAUUAUACUUAUUUUAUAAGUUUGCAUAUCGCUGUAGAUGGAAUGUCCUUUAAGGGUUUAUAAACAUUCAAGAGGUUUUUAUUUGUGAAAGUAAAUCAAGUCAAGAUGUAGCUGAUAAAUAAGAAGAGAUGGGUUACAAUAAAUUUAUUUAUAACGGAUUAAUAUAUGAAAUUUAUUAUAAAGGUGGAUUUGAAGG